rnacentral:rRNA from 1 species
GCCAACGUCCAUACCACGCUGAAUACACCGGUUCUCGUCUGAUCACCGAAGUUAAGCAACGUCGGGCGCGGUCAGUACUUGGAUGGGUGACCGCCUGGGAACACCGCGUGACGUUGGCU